UCAGUUCUCCACAGUGCUGGCAGUGGUAUUCCGAAGCAGCGCAUGUGUGACGGCAUCAAUGAUUGCUGCAGUAACGGAGAGGAUGAGUUUGUGCAGCUGUGUGGCAUUGAGGAGUGCCGGGAGAAGAAUGUCGGGUGUGUGUGAGCCUGUUUACAUCAACACUCGAGAGUCAUACUACUGCCAGUGCCGGCCAUGCAGGGUACAGACUCGUGUCAGAAAGUUCAAGUGUGAAGACGUUGACGAGUGCGUGGAGUCGCCCAGAUCCUCUCC
rnacentral:lncRNA from 1 species